rnacentral:tRNA from 1 species
GCCUUCCUGGUGUAGUGGUCAGCACGCUCGACGCGUAACCGAGAGGUCCGUGGUUCGAUUCCCGGUGAAGGCG